UCCAGGGUAGCCAAGUGGACAUGGCAUCAUGGCCAUCAUGACAUGGAAGGUUGUGGGUUCGAUUCCCGCCCCUGGAC